rnacentral:rRNA from 1 species
CGCCUCUUGAAUUUUAUAAGAGGUCCAGCCUGCCCAGUGACUCUGUUCAACGGCCGCGGUAUCCUAACCGUGCGAAGGUAGCGUAAUCACUUGUUCUUUAAAUGUGGACUAGUAUGAAUGGCACCACGAAGGUUAUACUGUCUCCUUUUUCUAAUCAGUGAAACUAAUCUCCCCGUGAAGAAGCGGGGAUAAAGCUAUAAGACGAGAAGACCCUAUGGAGCUUUAAACAACAUAGCACUUGCCACACACCAUUAAAAUUCCAGAAUCUUCAAUUCUCUGAGCAAUAUGACUAUAAGUUUUUGGUUGGGGUGACCGCGGAGCAUAACACAACCUCCAUGUUGAAAGAAUCAUUUUCUAAGCUAAGAACUACAACUCUAAGCAUCAACAUAUUGACAUCCAUUGACCCAAUACACUUGAACAACGAACCAAGUUACCCUAGGGAUAACAGCGCAAUCCACUUCAAGAGCUCCUAUCGACAAGUGGGUUUACGACCUCGAUGUUGGAUCAGGGUUUCCCAGUGGUGCAGCCGCUACUAAAGGUUCGUUUGUUCAACGAUUAAAACCCUACG